AUUGAACGCUGGCGGCAUGCCUUACACAUGCAAGUCGAACGGUAGAGGGGGGCAACCCCUUCGAGAGUGGCGAACGGGUGAGUAAUGCAUCGGAACGUGCCCAGUCGUGGGGGAUAGCCCGGGGAAACCCGGAUUAAUACCGCAUACGACCUGAGGGUGAAAGCGGGGACUCGCAAGGGCCUCGCGCGAUUGGAGCGGCCGAUGUCGGAUUAGGUAGUUGGUGGGGUAAAGGCCUACCAAGCCUGCGAUCCGUAGCUGGUCUGAGAGGACGACCAGCCACACUGGGACUGAGACACGGCCCAGACUCCUACGGGAGGCAGCAGUGGGGAAUUUUGGACAAUGGGGGCAACCCUGAUCCAGCCAUGCCGCGUGCGGGAAGAAGGCCUUCGGGUUGUAAACCGCUUUUGUCAGGGAAGAAAUGUCCUGGGCUAAUACCCUGGGGGGAUGACGGUACCUGAAGAAUAAGCACCGGCUAACUACGUGCCAGCCGCCGCCGUAA
rnacentral:rRNA from 1 species